GAUUUUCUCAUUUCUAUAUUAUCUAGUAUCACAAAUGAUAAUUCCCAUCUUGUCGUACGUAAAAUAACAGUCACCUCCACUGUGCUCAGCAAGCACCGAUAAACAAAUGCAGGCGAGCAUGUCUCUCAGAAUCUUCCUUAGCCAUGUCCGCACUCCUCCCUUACUGUCGCCAGACAUUGUCAGUAACGGCAGUGACAAACGAUUCCGUACCGAAAUCAAAGCAGAGAAGCAGGAAGUCAGGGUGUGCACCAACCGUACAUGUCGUCGACAAGGCUCUAUACAGAUCCUCGACGCACUGUCUGGACUGGCGCCACCAGAAGUGGUAGUGAAGUCGUGUGGUUGCCUCGGCCGCUGCGGCGCCGGUCCCAACCUCGUGGUACUUCCCGGGGGCAAGAUCUUCGGCUACUGUGCUACGGCGGCUCGAGCGGCCGAGGUGAUGCUUGGCUUGUGCUCCCGAGGUUGUGAUGCUGGUGCCAUCAGCAAGGCUCUCGAAGGGCUGGCCUUGACUCAGAGAGUUCGGUCUGAGCUGGAGAAUGGCAAUUUCUCGCAGGCCGAGCUAGUUCUCUCCCAGGCUAUUGAUUUAGAACCACUUGGGGGCAUCCAUGUUAUGUACAGAUACAGAUCUCUUGCAAGAUUAUCGAUGGGAAACCUUUCUGGGGCUCUUGAGGAUGCCACACAAGCUUUGACAUUAGCACCCAACUACGCUGAGGCUUACAUAUGCCAAGGUGAUGCUUUCUUGGCAAUGGCCCACUAUGACUUGGCUGAAAAAUCAUAUUCAAUAUGUCUACAAGUAGAUCCUUCUCUUCGUCGUUCAAAAUCAUUCAAGGCUCGCAUUGCGAAGCUUCAGGAGAAACUUGCUGCAGUAGACAGGCCUUAAGGUUUGCAGCAUGGCUGAAACAACACUGACUUAAAUAUUGAUCAAUAACAUGAAUUAGAUUAUGGUGUCUCUGCUGUUUGAAGAACUUACCGAGGAUGUCACCAACAUGAAAUAAUUUACCCUCAGUCCAGUUGGUGAAAUUGGUGAAGAGAUUCCAGCCAUCACCAUCUCCGACAACAAACGAUGUUGCUCUCACGUCAAGGAUAUUGAAGGAUGUAGUGAGUAGAAGGUAAAGUACAAUCAUGCUGUAGUAUGGAUUAUCGGCAAGCAUAUGGUUUUAUGUCCCUUAUUUUCGUCAGCUCCUUUUCCUCGAAUUUUACCUGAUGAAAUGGUGAUAGGUAGGGUUGUAGGGAAGGGAAGUGUUGGUUCACAGAGGCAUUUUUGAAGUGGGUUUGGAGGGUCAUGAUAUUUGGUUUUAUCCUGAUUAGGUAAUCAUGUAAAUUGUACUUUGCAGUGUGCAUAAAAAAGUCAGGUUAUAUUGUUAAUAUUAACAUGAUUCUUUUUGCAUGUGA